AUACGGAGGCUGCGAGCGUUAAUCGGAAUUACUGGGCGUAAAGCGUACGUAGGCGGUUGGUUAAGUUAGAUGUGAAAGCCCCGGGCUUAACCUGGGAACUGCAUUUAAAACUGGCGAACUAGAGUUGAGUAGAGGGGAGUGGAAUUUCAGGUGUAGCGGUGAAAUGCGUAGAGAUCUGAAGGAACACCAGUGGCGAAGGCGACUCCCUGGACUCGAACUGACGCUGAGGUACGAAAGCGUGGGUAGCAAACGGGAUUAGAUACCCUAGUAGUCC
rnacentral:rRNA from 1 species